UCACUGUGAUGAAAGGUCCAAACAUUCGCAGUUUCCACCAGAAUUCAAGACAUGUUGGCAGUUUAUACCUUCCUUGGAUGUCUGAGUGA
ensembl:snoRNA SNORD14 Small nucleolar RNA SNORD14